rfam:Serendipita vermifera MAFF 305830 unplaced genomic scaffold scaffold_2, whole genome shotgun sequence.
UCCGAUAUAGUCUAGCGGUCAUGAUUUGUCGUUCUCACCGACAAGGCCGGGGUUCGACUCCCCGUGUCGGAA